rnacentral:rRNA from 1 species
GAUGAACGCUGGCGGCGUGCCUAAUACAUGCAAGUCGAGCGAACGGACGAGAAGCUUGCUUCUCUGAUGUUAGCGGCGGACGGGUGAGUAACACGUGGAUAACCUACCUAUAAGACUGGGAUAACUUCGGGAAACCGGAGCUAAUACCGGAUGAUAUUUUGAACCGCAUGGUUCAAAAGUGAAAGACGGUCUUGCUGUCACUUAUAGAUGGAUCCGCGCUGCAUUAGCUAGUUGGUAAGGUAACGGCUUACCAAGGCAACGAUGCAUAGCCGACCUGAGAGGAUAGUCAGCCACACUGGAGCUGAGACUCGUUCCGGACUCCUAGGGCAGGCAGCAUGGGGGCAUCUUGCGGAAGGGGCGAAAGCCGGACGGAUCGACGCCGCGUGAGUUGUGAAUCACUUCGGAUCUUAAAACUCGGUUCUUGGGGAAGAACAUAUGUUUGCGUAACUGCGCACUUCUUGACAAUACCUAAUCAGAAGGCCACGGCUAACUACGUG